AAAAAGUCAGAAAAAGCCAACUGAAUUUCUAAAAAAGCCAAAAUUCCCGCUUUUCCCCAAUUCCCGCAAUUCUCAAAUUUUUCCCGCAGUUAGCCUUCGAAAAAAGCCAGUUUUGAAGGGAAAAAAUCCAAAUUGGCAGCACUGGACGAAUGCCACAUUGAGAUUCAUCCAUCAUCUGACGAAGCUGUGGACUAUUAUAAUUAUAAAGGAUGGUAUUCCACCGUUUUAAUGGCAUUAGUUGAUGCUAAAUACCGUUUUACUUACAUAAACGUAGGAAGUCCCGGGCGAUGUAAUGACUCUCAAAUUUAUGAGACGUCAUCACUUAAAAAAGAAAUGGAUAGUUGUCCUUUACUAAGCGAAAUGUCUAGAGAAAUUUCAGGCGUAAAUGUGCCAGUAUUCAUUAUUGGGGAUUCGCCUUUUCGAUUUAGCAAAUAACUAAUGAAACCGUAUCCAUUUAGCGUAAAUCAAAAUAAUGGUGAGAAGGUAUUCAACUACGCUCUUUCGAAAACACGUAGAGUUGUCGAAAAUACUUUAAGACACCUCAAGGCCCGCUUUCGACGCGUCGGAAAAGGAAUUGACAACUCUGUACGGAAUGCCAACUCCAUAAUAAAAGCAUCUUGCGUCCUUCACAAUUUUUUAAAUGAUAACAACGAAACGCUAAAUGGUUAAGCGCUUUGGAAGAGUUGGAGACUAGACGCCAGAAUCCGUGUGAUAUUUCAUAUGCAUCUCCACGACCCAAUUAAUGGAGAAAUCGGACAGCACUUUGUACAUAUUUUGCAUCACUCGGCUCGGGAGACGGUACUGGUAGCGAAGAAGUAUCGCUUGGCGACAUCGGCAUAGCUGAGGGCGAUGGUAGGCAAACCGGUGAUGAC